rnacentral:piRNA from 1 species
CAUUGGUGGAGAAGGGAACA